rnacentral:lncRNA from 1 species
AUUUCUAUCAGGAGCAGUUAAUUUUUAUAAAAUAAUCUUAUCUUAAAUAUUUUCUUCUUUUCAAGGUAUCAUAGACGUCGUAGGAAGCCAAAUCCUCCAAAAGACAGAUGAUACUGAGAUUUUCAGAAAUCAGAGAGAAAUGUUAUCCUGCAUCUCAUUUGCCAUUUGAGAAAAUACAGGCCACAUGGGAUCUGAGCGGUGUCUGCAACCUACACCACGACUCAUGGCACUUAACUACUCCUUAACCCACUGAGGCAGGCCAGGGAUCAAACCCGAAUCCUCCUGGCUACUAGUUGGGUUCGUUACCACUGAGCCACAACGGAACUCCAGUAUUUGGAUAUUCUUUAGGUAAGAAUGACUAGUAAAUGAUGGUAGUGAAAUUAAGUGAGGCCAUUAUUCAUUCUGUUGAUCUCAUCAUUAAGCAUUUAUUGAACCCCUACUACAGUUGAAGAGGCGGCAUGCCUUUUGCCAGGCCAGUAACAAAAAAUGGGCCCUUAAGGAGCAUAAUAUCUACUUAACUAGUAUCUACUGAACUUCUUAGUUUUUCUAAUGGCAUCACUUUUUAACUAUGAAUGUGAUGCAUCAUUAUUUUUUUAAAUUAGAGAUUAAAUAAAUAGAAAAUAAAAUUACUUCUAAUUGUCCUG